rnacentral:rRNA from 1 species
UACAGAGGUCUCAAGCGUUGUUCGGAUUCAUUGGGCGUAAAGGGUGCGUAGGUGGCGCCGUAAGUCGGGUGUGAAAUUUCGGAGCUCAACUCCGAAACUGCAUUCGAUACUGCGGUGCUUGAGGACUGGAGAGGAGACUGGAAUUCAUGGUGUAGCAGUGAAAUGCGUAGAGAUCAUGAGGAAGACCAGUGGCGAAGGCGGGUCUCUGGGCAUGUCCUGACGCUGAGGAGCGAAAGUGUGGGGAGCGAACAGG